CCGUCCCGCCCCCACGGCUCUGCAGCCUGGUACCUGCCACCAUCCAGGCCCAGCCCAGGGCUUUCCAGCACAUCCACUCUGCCCAUGCUCUGCUGCCGUUGAAAGGCAGGUGUCGGGAUUCCUGGUCUCAGAGUGAUGGGCAGGGACCUGGGGGCACCCCAGCGCUGAUGGUGGGGCCUGCCUUGGUCCCCGGUCCCUGGGCAUGGUCGAUCCAAGCCCUGCUCCCCGGAAAGCCAUCCCUGGAUGCCGUGGCUCUGGGCUGCUCCCUCUAGCCCCAGACAUGCCAGCCCCUCUCUGGUGCCUUCAGAGGCCCACAUCCUCCCAGCUGCCAAAGGCCCGGCCGAGCUCUGGCUGGGAAGCCUGGCCCGAUCAGAGUGAACCCAGCCGCUUCCUGGCCCAGCCUGAGGGCCAGUUCUCCCCUCUGCGGCUCUGCCAGGGGCCAGUCUGGCCACCCCUCCUGUGUCUGUGGCCCUCCUCUCCAUCUUCUUCCUUCUGGAGUCCACCUGCCCACUGAAGAGGUCCACGACAGAAUUCGAGAUGACCCCUGACCUGCCCACCCUGGCAUGCCCCUCCAUGUGAAGUGCCCCCACCCAGAGGCUCUCAUUAGAAAUCUGGACCUUCCCGACACCCUGUCCCUCAGUCUGCCCUGUCCACGACGGGUCCGGGGACUGUGGCUACGACCCCACAGGCGUCCACCCCAGGACAAGGUACACGGGUGUGUCCUAAUCUCACCAGGGCUUCCCUUGCCCCAGCCUCCUGUUCUCCCGGGAAGCCAGGCCGCCUGGCCCUCAGGCUCACAGAGUGAGUUCUAAAGCCCCUAACUCAUGAGCAGGGCCCGGCUCCAUCUCGCCCGCUCUCAGCCUCAGAUGGCCAUGACCCUGGGCCCUGGGCCUCUGCACAGGCUGCUCAGGCUGGGAACAUGCCAGCCACACUGCCCUCCACCUUGCUCACUCCUGGUGGUCUCCAGGCCCCUGACCCCCAGCCAGAGGAGGCCCUGCUCGUCGGUAUGUGCCUCUUUCAGCUGGGAAAGAGGGGCUUAUGGGCCGCUCUGUGCGUCCCUGCCUCUGCCUGCCGACCCCUGCACUCCCGGGGCAGGAACCAGCCCAGCCCAUCACAGGGGCUGCUCUCAGCAGUGCCGCCGCUCAGUGGCUGCUUUAGUCUCCAUGGCGGUCACUUCUGGUCCCUCUGUCCAGAUCAGAGGGCUCACAUUUGGGACACUUGUGGUUCUGGAGAAGGUGCAGGUUCUCCAGAGAAGCUGCCUGGAGAAGGUUCAAAAGACACUCUUAUGGGCCUCCAUAGCGCAGUUUCCAGAUGUGGGCUUCCUGGGUCCCUGCUGGCUCAGCUGGUAAAGAAUCCGCCUGCAAUGCAGCAGACCCUGGUUCGACUUCUGGGUCGGAAAGAUCCGCUGGAGAAAGGAUAGGCUACCCACUCCAGUAUUCUGGCCUGAGAAUUCCAUGGACUGUAUAGUCCAUGGGGUCACAAAGAGUCGGACACAACUGGGAGACUUUCACUUCACUUAACUUCCUGGUGGC
rnacentral:lncRNA from 1 species